rnacentral:rRNA from 1 species
UACGUAGGGUGCGAGCGUUGUCCGGAUUUAUUGGGCGUAAAGAGCUCGUAGGUGGUUUGUCGCGUUGUCCGUGAAAACUCACAACUCAAUUGUGGGCGUGCGGGCGAUACGGGCAGACUGGAGUACUGCAGGGGAGACUGGAAUUCCUGGUGUAGCGGUGGAAUGCGCAGAUAUCAGGAGGAACACCGGUGGCGAAGGCGGGUCUCUGGGCCGAUACUGACGCUGAGGAGCGAAAGCGUGGGGAGCGAACAGG